GGGACUAUUGUGAUCAACUGCUCAGACCUCCAGUAUAAAACAACGCAUAGGACUUCCUUGGAGUAAUUCUUGUUGGAACCAGGAUAUAUCUAUCUUUUUGUUAAAUCAAGAGUUGAUGUUUUUCUAUCUCCAGUGAUGGAGAAUUCACCACAACGAUAGGCACUGUCAAACACAUCACCAAGUUCUUUGGAGCAGGUACCGUCUCUUACAACCUUAAGUAGAAGCUGUGGAAAUGGGUGGAUGCAACAGAGGAAGGAGGAAGGAACAAGGUGGAAAGAAAAAUGGCUUGAGAAAGAUGACUGCUGACAGAGACCCAAGAGGAGCUAAGGGACAGUGUGAGAACUAUUAGCUUUGCUCCCAUAGGCUGGCUGAAAACCAGAGACAGAAUUGUUUUGACCAGAAAUGAUCAACGCCCAGUAAACACAAGAGAAAAAGGGAUCUGAGAGGGAUUUAAAGAAGGACACAUUCACUAAUGGGGAGAAAUAAGACACAGAAACCCAUUGGGGACAACUGGAAAAACUAGGUGUGUGGGUUACAAUUGUAUGUGCUCUCAGCCCUGU